rnacentral:rRNA from 1 species
GACGAACGCUGGCGGCGUGCUUAACACAUGCAAGUCGAACGGAAAGGCCCUGCUUUUGUGGGGUGCUCGAGUGGCGAACGGGUGAGUAACACGUGAGUAACCUGCCCUUGACUUUGGGAUAACUUCAGGAAACUGGGGCUAAUACCGGAUAGGAGCUCCUGCUGCAUGGUGGGGGUUGGAAAGUUUCGGCGGGUGGGGAUGGACUCGCGGCUGAUCAGCUUGUUGGUGGGGUAGUGGCUUACCAAGGCUUUGACGGGUAGCCGGCAUGAGAGGGUGACCGGCCACAUUGGGACUGCGAUACGGCCCAGACUCCUACGGGAGGCAGCAGUGGGGAAUCUUGCACAAUGGGCGGAAGCCUGAUGCAGCAACGCCGCGUGCGGGAUGACGGCCUUCGGGUUGUAAACCGCUUUCGCCUGUGACGAAGCGUGAGUGACGGUAAUGGGUAAAGAAGCACCGGCUAACUACGUG